CUGGAGAGCCAAAGAAGCAAGAACCCUGUGCCCCAGGUUCCAUAUACAGUGCCUAAGCAGCCAAGCUCAGCAGAGGUACAUUCCAAGCCAAGAACUAGUAAAAUGCCUUCUUUCUCAUAUUUUCUUUCCUUCCUCUUCCUAGCCACUCCCACCUUAAUCCACUGGAAACACUAUCAGCUAAAUCCUGAAGCUCUGGCUAAACCUUGAUCUCUGGAGCACAAGAGGCAAAAGGCGAGAAAGCAGCACAACUUGGAAGAAUUUAGUCCUUAUCCUGACCUGAGGCAAGCAGAUGGAGAGCUCAAACCAAAUAAAUAAGAGUUGAUGAUACACUAUGAGAUGGACAUACAAAAUGGUAUUUUUUCAAGUAGCAUCUAAGGAAGUUUUCUGAAAUAAAGCAAAAACCUGUUUGUGAGAGAGACCCCGGAGAGAGAAGUAAAGAUGCCGCUCUGCAUGCUGCUGCUGCUCUGAAAAGGUGCCUGGCAGGCGGGUCUACACCAAACCAAGCAGAUGUAUUUGGAAAACUUAACCAAAGGGAUCAUCAGAACAUCCCUGGAGGGCCCAGGACUUCAAGAUGGGGAUGAAUCUGUUUUGCCACCUAGCUUCCUGCAUCAUGCUCCAAAGCCAAAGAAGGA